rnacentral:rRNA from 1 species
UCCUACGGGAGGCAGCAGUAGGGAAUCUUCCGCAAUGGACGAAAGUCUGACGGAGCAACGCCGCGUGAGUGAUGAAGGCUUUCGGGUCGUAAAACUCUGUUGUUAGGGAAGAACAAGUGCUAGUUGAAUAAGCUGGCACCUUGACGGUACCUAACCAGAAAGCCACGGCUAACUACGUGCCAGCAGCCGCGGUAAUACGUAGGUGGCAAGCGUUAUCCGGAAUUAUUGGGCGUAAAGCGCGCGCAGGUGGUUUCUUAAGUCUGAUGUGAAAGCCCACGGCUCAACCGUGGAGGGUCAUUGGAAACUGGGAGACUUGAGUGCAGAAGAGGAAAGUGGAAUUCCAUGUGUAGCGGUGAAAUGCGUAGAGAUAUGGAGGAACACCAGUGGCGAAGGCGACUUUCUGGUCUGUAACUGACACUGAGGCGCGAAAGCGUGGGGAGCAAACAGGAUUAGAUACCCUGGUAGUCCACGCCGUAAACGAUGAGUGCUAAGUGUUAGAGGGUUUCCGCCCUUUAGUGCUGAAGUUAACGCAUUAAGCACUCCGCCUGGGGAGUACGGCCGCAAGGCUGAAACUCAAAGG